rnacentral:rRNA from 1 species
CAAGCGGCGGAGCAUGCGGAUUAAUUCGAUGCAACGCGAAGAACCUUACCAAGGCUUGACAUGGACCGGUAAUACCUGGAAACAGGUGCCCCGCUUGCGGUCGGUUCACAGGUGGUGCAUGGUUGUCGUCAGCUCGUGUCGUGAGAUGUUGGGUUAAGUCCCGCAACGAGCGCAACCCUCGUUCUAUGUUGCCAGCACGUGAUGGUGGGGACUCAUAGGAGACUGCCGGGGUCAACUCGGAGGAAGGUGGGGACGACGUCAAAUCAUCAUGCCCCUUAUGUCUUGGGCUUCACGCAUGCUACAAUGGCCGGUACAAAGGGUUGCAAUACUGUGAGGUGGAGCUAAUCCCAAAAAGCCGGUCUCAGUUCGGAUUGGGGUCUGCAACUCGACCCCAUGAAGUCGGAGUCGCUAGUAAUCGCAGAUCAGCAACGCUGCGGUGAAUACGUUCCCGGGCCUUGUACACACCGCCCGUCAAGUCACGAAAGUUGGUAACACCCGAAGCCGGUGGCCUAACCCCUUGUGGGAGGGAGCUGUCGAAGGUGGGACUGGCGAUUGGGACU